UUUUGCAUUGGCUUUACGCGCCAUAAUGCCGUUGCCGACCGCGUGCAAUAAGUGGGUUUUACCCAAGCCGGUGCCGCCAUA
rnacentral:antisense_RNA from 1 species